rnacentral:rRNA from 1 species
UACAGAGGUCCCAAGCGUUGUUCGGAUUCACUGGGCGUAAAGGGUGCGUAGGUGGUGGGGUAAGUCUGAUGUGAAAUCUCCGAGCUCAACUCGGAAAUGGCAUUGGAAACUACCUCGCUUGAGGAGUGGAGGGGGGACUGGAAUUCUCGGUGUAGCAGUGAAAUGCGUAGAUAUCGAGAGGAACACCAGUGGCGAAGGCGAGUCCCUGGACAACUCCUGACACUAAGGCACGAAAGCUAGGGGAGCAAACAGG